CCAAGCCCUAAAAUCUAAAUCCACCUUUGUUCAAACCUAAAACUAACUCAAACCAAAUACCAAACCCCUCACAAAAACACAUGCAUCACCUACAAUCACAUAAAUCAAACAGAAAUCCUAAACAAUCAAACCUAAACACAUCAUGAAAAAAACAAAGGGUGGAAAGCAAAAGACCUACCAACGGAGACGAGGCUCUCUCCGGUACCAAAAGGUACCUCUUGGAGGAUUAAUGGAGGUUAAGCUCAGGUCCUUUAGUAAUUCAAGGUGAAUCCCUAAAUGUCUUUGGAUGGAGCUUUGGUGAGGGUUUAGGGUGGUGGCAAGACAACAUAUUUAGGGUUUUUUCUCUGUAAAAUUUGUGCCCUCUUCUUAUAAAACUCUAGGAUUUAUAUAGGCUCUGAGAUUAGGUUAGUUAUUAAGCAUGUGAUUCCAUUUCGGAAGUUUGGGAUAUAAGUUUGUGUAGUUUUGGAAGUUCCAAUUGUAACAGAAAUUUUGUAAUGGGAAAUUGAUUCUUUC